rnacentral:pre_miRNA from 1 species
CCAUCAAAGGGACUGUGAAAUGUGUCUUUGAUUCACAUAUCACAGCCACCUUUGAUGAGCU